AUGGCCGGGCACGAGUGGGACUGGUUCCAGCGCGAGGAGCUCAUCGGGCAGAUCAGCGACAUCCGCGUGCAGAACCUGCAGGUGGAACGGGAAAAUGUACAGAAGAGGACCUUUACCAGAUGGAUAAACUUACAUUUGGGAAAGUGUACACCUCCUCUGAAAGUGAGAGAUUUAUUUAUUGAUAUACAAGAUGGCAAAAUCUUGAUGGCUUUACUGGAAGUCCUGUCAGGACAAAAGCUGAUGCAUGAAUACAAAUCUUCAACCCAUCGCAUUUUUCGUUUAAACAAUAUAGCCAAAGCGCUUAAGUUUUUGGAGGACAGUAAUGUAAAACUUGUUAGCAUCGAUGCAGCAGAAAUAGCAGAUGGAAAUUCCUCUCUGGUACUGGGACUAAUAUGGAAUAUAAUCUUGUUUUUUCAGAUUAAAGAACUCACAGGCAACCUCAACAGGAACUCAUCCUCUUCCAGCCUGUCAUCUGGGCCCAGUGGGCCCGAGUCAGACACGUCUCAGACAAGCACUCCAAAUGCAGAGAGAAGCAUGUCUGUUACUGUGAAAGAUCAGCGAAAAGCCAUCAGAGCCCUUCUGACCUGGGUUCAGAGGAAAACCAGAAAAUACGGUGUUGCAGUUCAGGACUUUGCCAGCAGCUGGAGGAGCGGCCUCGCUUUCUUAGCCGUUAUAAAAGCGAUAGACUCGACUUUGGUAGACAUGAAGCCAGCACUGGAGAAGUCUGCUCGGGAAAACCUGGAGGAUGCUUUCAGCAUAGCACAAAGUAGGCUCGGUGUCCCUAGGCUACUGGAGCCAGAAGAUAUAAUGGUGGAAUCACCCGAUGAACAAUCGAUUGUGACGUAUGUGGCGCAAUUUCUGGAACACUUCCCCGAGCUGGAAGGGGAAGACUUUACAGAUCCUGACAAAGAGUUUCCAAUUGAGUCUACAUAUGUCCACAUUAAAGAUACACCUUCAGAACAGGAAGGCAAAAUCUUGAUUUUAAGUGAAAACGAAGACAAUAUGUAUACUGUUAACCAUGAACGGAGCCAUCCUGCUCCUCCAAAGGUUCAUAUUCCUGAUACCGCAGAGAGAAUCCACUCAGAAACUCUUCCUGAGAAAUGUAAUGGAAAAGCAUUAGGUGAUUCACCUGAAGCCUUUGAAGAGGAGCCUAAGAGGCCUACCUCUCUGAAAAUUACAGGAUCUGUCAGUUUUGAAUCCAACUCCUCCUGGGAAGUUCUUAGCGAUAAAUUGAUCCCAGGUGAAGGAGCCAUAUAUGAUGGUACACUGAAACAGAAUAAUGACCUUUCUCCAGCUGCUCUGACAGAUCAGAAAAAUUCUGUAGACUCUUUUGAAGACUACUCUGAAGAACUAACUAGAGAGACCUCUACUGAAUAUGAUAAUGAAACUAAAAGCCUAUCAGCCAAUACUUCUUCUUUGAGUCCAUCAUCUUGGACUUCAGGAAUACUUACAGAUGAAUCCAUAAAUAAAAUAGAAGAGACCAAAUCCCAAGCUUCAGAUCUUUUACCAGAAGAUACCUCAAAACAAGAAGAUACACAUACAUAUGUUCUUCAUCUUCUAAAUCAGGAAAUUUUGAAACCUCAAGAAAAUGAGCAUACAAAUCAAUCACCUGUCUUUGAGACAACAGAAACUAACCAUUAUUUGUUGAAUAACUCUAAUUUCCAAAGCCAAGAUCUAUCUACACAGCCUGAAACAGCUGAUGACUCUCACUCAGAUGUACCUGAAAGUCCAGAAGACCAGGAUGAAGUUGAUGAAGCUGAGUCUUCAGCUGAAGUCUUGCCCAGUUCUUCGAAAGUAUCUGUAAUACCCCAUGAUCUCUUUUAUUAUCCACAUUAUAAUGUUCCCAUAUCAGCAGUUUUGGAUGCUUACGUUGAGCCUCGUCUUGGAGAUUAUGAUAUUGGAAAUGACAAAUCUUAUUCUGACUCAGCAACAGAUAUUUCGCAUGAGAAGGGGAUCCCAGCACAGAACUACAAGGAAGAUGCUCCAGAGAAAGGAUUAGGGAGUAAGCUAGGUGACUCUGCAUCAGAAGUGAAUACUGCAAACCUAGAGGAGGCAAAAAUGGAUACUAACAGUCACAUGAAUUAUUCCUAUGAAAAAGAAGACGCUUUACUAACAGGAAAAGAGAGAGAAAUUGAAAAAGAAGAACAAAAAGCAUCCACCCCUCAAGAUUCUCCUAUUUCCCAACAUCCUGAGGAUGAAGAAAAUCAUCAGGAUGAUUUGUCAGAAGCUGUGAAGACACCAGAAAAAAGUAGUAAAAGGAAGGAAAAAAGAAAAAAUGUGAUCAAUGACGUACAGAUUUCAAAAGUUGGAGCUACUACUCUGUCACUAGAUAAACUGGAAGAAAUUGCUGAUUGUCAGGAAUUUACCAGAACUAGUUACAGUGAUUCCAACAUUUAUCUCCGAAAAAGGUUUUCUAAAACUUCUGAGAAGGAAACCUCUGGUGAAAGUGAGCAGGAGAUGACAGAUGUGGAUGAAAAGCUCACAGUCGUCAGGAAGAAAAAGGAUUUGGAAGCAAGUGAGACUCCAGCUCCAACUCUGCAGACUCUGAGCGCUGAACAACGAGAGCUGUUCUACUUCAUUGUGUUCCUCUGGGCACUGGUCUACUGCCUUUUACUUUUCCCACAGCUUGUUGGCAACAAAGCUUGAUCUCUGUGAGGUGUGUGGAAAAUAAAAGACGGUGGCCUGAUUGUUCUGUGUAUCUGCAUAUGAAUAUGUUCCUUCAGGUGAAGCACAACUAUAAAUGUAGGACCUGGUAUUUAUGGCUAUUAUCAGGCUCUCCUUUCCUCUACUGCUGUGCUCUGACUGUGUCUAAGCACAUUUUAUAUUAAGACAACUCUGUAAAUAUAUAUAAAGAAAAAUGAUUUCGUAGAUGCAAUUUUGUACAUUUGUGCCUUGCUUUAUAAUAUGUUAAAUAAAAAUGGAUAAUUAUCAGUAGAAAUAUGAACAGUUCAGAGCUCCAGUCUUCAAAAAUGAUUCUUCUGGCUGCAUUCACUGAUGCAGAGCCCUACAGCUGUGGAGAUGGGUCCUUUAUUUGACUUAACCUAUGAAUCUGGCCCACCAGAAAGAGCAGGUCUUGAAAUACUCUUUCACCAUUUUCAUGGAUGUUUUUGAUAGAGAUGGAGUUACAGAGUUAAUUUAACAUAGAGUACUGACUAUAAUUCAAUGAAAUGGAGUAACAAAAUCAGGCAGCUGCUACUGCUAAUAAUGGCAAAUGAGAACUGUGUCACUUUCUCACCAGGAGGGGAACAUGAAAGGUUAUGUGUCUGCAACAUAAAAUUGGCCCCUGGUGAUUAAGAUACUUCUUUCUUCGUGACAAGAUUAUAAGAGGCAAUAAAAAUCAUCAACUUUACCUCUAGGAGAAUACUAAACCAGAGCAUUCCAGGAAGGGCUCGGUUGUGGCCAUCACUGCCAUGUUCAGGCCUCAGAGUGUUUUACGCCCACAGCAGCUUCGCUGCUUCCCUGUGCACCCUUGCAACCGCCUGCUCCGUGGAAUACGUUUGCUCUGUGCCCAGACUGCAGUUCUUACAAGAGGGUCCUGAUCCUUGGUAUUACUACACUAUAACAAAUAAUCACAAGCAUUUAGUUAAAAAUGACUGGAUUGACCUUAAGUAAAGUAGCUUUUAAAUUAUGUGCUGCUGGUUUUUUGAGAAGAAUAAUGAAGUCCUUAUUUUUUAAUACUGAGUUACUUAUACAAGUCAAAUAAUUCUAUAUUUGUUGUAAUCGGAUAAAUUCAACUACUGCUUUUUUCUUGAACAAAGCUUAUUUUCAUUGGCAUACCACUUCAUGUAUCGUAUUUUUCUGUGUAAAUGCUGAAGAAAUUCUUUCGUCCCUCUUGUUCAUGUUCUCCA